CUCAACUUAUGGGUAUGUAUCGUUCAGUCACUUUCCCCUAUCUUUUCCCCUGUCUUUCCACCAUGGCUCCAGCCAUUUCUCUCAAGAUCCACGGCUAUGGUCGCCGCCUGCUCUCCGCAGCCACCAUGGCCUUGCCCCGCUGCCUAAUCUUACACCGCUUCAAAGGCCCCGCCCCACCGCCGGUAGUUGAAUAGAUCGAGGAUUCACUGAAGACCAGGCGGCAAUCGCGGUAGCUUGAGGCUCGCGGCAAGCAAGGAUACCAAACGUAAGAGCAGGCGGAGGUGUGGACCUCGUAUGCACCGGAUUCUCGGCUGCGGACACCCCGUGUUCGAGGGCUCGCUUUGGCCUCUGCUCUGCCACCCUCGGUGUCCUCCCCGACAGCAAAAACUCCGCCUAACCAAAUCGACCGAGUCAUCUUGUUCAUGGUGUUCUUGCAGCAAAGGGGAAACAUAGGAGGUGCACGGGAGCGUUGCUAUUAAGUACAGACGGUGCGUGCACAAGCUGCAGCCGGCAGUGCGUUGUUCUUUUGAUUUGUACCUGACUUUGAUCUCAGGACACUGUAAUGGAGAGGUUUUCAACUAAGGUUAAAGUUCAGGAACUAAAUUGAACCGAUGCAUGUCAAGUUAUGAAGUCUGGCACGACUUAGGCAGUCUAGAACAACUCUUGCUUACUCUUCAGGUACCAGGGAGUAGAACGUUUUAUAUGACUACCUACUUAAUCACAAGAAGCACGGGUGGACGUCAGAGUUUUGGCUGGACGUCGGAGUUUUGGCGAGACGGCAGAGACAACAUACCUUGGUUGUAGCACAAGUGGGCGUCGAAGUUAGCAGCAACAGAUGUUUGGCGAGGUGUGAGAUCGGGAUGUCGGAGUUCUGGCGAGACGGCAGCGACAGAGAGAUCGGCAGAAUUCCGCUGAGUCUGGUUCUUUUUAUGCGUCCUGGUUUCGUGGUGGUUCAAAUUUCUGUCGGAGUAUUAUUGAAUUGGUUCUAAUGUGAUAUGUGAUAUUUCUGUCGAAACUGUUUUUCUGGUGGGGGCAUCCUGGUUCUUUUUAUGCGACCUGGGUUUCGUGGUCGUCCAAAUUUGCUUCUAAUGUGAUCGUAUGGUAUCAGAGUACGUAUCUUAGUCG